rnacentral:rRNA from 1 species
CUACGGGACGCUCCAGUGGGGAAUAUUGCACAAUGGAGGAAACUCUGAUGCAGCAACGCCGCGUGGAGGAUGACACUUUUCGGAGCGUAAACUCCUUUUAUAUAGGAAGAAGAUGACGGUACUAUAUGAAUAAGCGCCGGCUAACUCCGUGCCAGCAGCCGCGGUAAUACGGAGGGCGCAAGCGUUACUCGGAAUCACUGGGCGUAAAGAGCGUGUAGGCGGAUUAAAAAGUCAGAAGUGAAAUCCUAUAGCUUAACUAUAGAACUGCUUCUGAGACUCUUAAUCUAGAAUAUGGGAGAGGUAGAUGGAAUUUCUGGUGUGGGGGUAAAAUCCGUAGAGAUCAGAAGGAAUACCGAUUGCGAAGGCGAUCCACUAGAACAUUAUUGACGCUGAGACGCGAAAGCGUGGGGAGCAAACAGGAUUAGAUACCCCGGUAGUC